UCUUCUGUCUUUUCCUCCUUCUUCUGCCCGGCUUUCUUCCCCUCCCCCACAUCGCUGACCAAGUUCUCCCGUUUUGGACCGAGUCGCCUUGUUGUUGCCGCAGAGAUUCUUCCUGCUGCUGCCACUGUCGCCGCCGCCACCACUGUGCUCAUUUGCCCCGACCCCUUCCUGCCGCCCUGCCCCCAGCCCCACACAAGAUGUCAGAGGAUCUAGCAAAGCAGCUGGCAAGCUACAAAGCUCAACUCCAGCAAGUUGAAGCUGCAUUGUCUGGAAACGGAGAAAAUGAAGAUUUGCUAAAAUUAAAGAAAGAUUUACAAGAAGUUAUAGAACUAACCAAAGACCUUCUGUCAACUCAACCUUCAGAAACUCUUGCAAGUUCAGACAGUUUUGCUUCUACUCAGCCCAGUCAUUCAUGGAAAGUAGGAGACAAGUGUAUGGCAAUCUGGAGUGAAGAUGGACAGUGUUAUGAAGCGGAGAUCGAGGAGAUAGAUGAAGAAAAUGGCACUGCUGCAAUCACCUUUGCUGGCUACGGCAAUGCUGAAGUGACCCCACUGUUGAACCUCAAGCCUGUAGAAGAAGGAAGGAAGGCAAAGGAGGACAGUGGCAACAAACCCAUGUCAAAAAAAGAAAUGAUUGCCCAACAGCGUGAAUAUAAAAAGAAGAAAGCUUUGAAAAAAGCACAGAGAAUAAAAGAACUUGAGCAGGAAAGAGAGGACCAGAAGGUUAAAUGGCAACAGUUCAACAACAGAGCCUAUUCUAAAAACAAAAAAGGCCAGGUGAAAAGGAGUAUUUUUGCUUCUCCUGAGAGUGUAACCGGAAAAGUUGGAGUAGGAACUUGUGGAAUUGCUGAUAAACCUAUGACACAAUAUCAAGAUACCUCUAAAUACAAUGUCAGGCAUUUGAUGCCUCAAUAAUCAGAAAAACUGUUGGAUUUCAUCUCUGCAGGGCUUUACAUUUACCUUUUUAUCCUUAUAUUUUUCUAAAGGGUGUGUUACCAGAAGGGUGGUGAAGUCCUAGCUGACAGCACUGAUACAGUGAUUAAGCUUCAGUCUUCUUGCUUGCAUUCAUCAUUUCCACAGAAGAGAAUAUUGAGUAUGUGAUAAAGGUUUCAAUAAAUCCUUAUGUACUUCUUCCAUUAGACAUAAGAAAUUGAAUCCUAAAGGACAAACUAUUUUUAUCUUAAGGGCUUGUGCUGUGUAUAGAGGUGUUUGUACAUUUUGGUAAAAGGAGAAAAUAAAAAUUUUAAUGACUUUUAAAUAUUUUGGCAAAUUGAAACUUAGGACCGUGAUGAGAAUUAGAAUUCUUUAUUUUGCCCCUUCACCUCUCUCCCAACCCAGGAGGAUCAGUUUUCCUUCCUAUAAUUUAUGGCCACAGGGUAGAACAUGUAGGACAGAAUGAAAGGGGAAGUCUUUUUUAAAUACAAGGCACAAAUUACAGCAGAAUAGGACUACUUAGCCCGAAGAACUCCUAAAAACAUACUGUUCUUGUUACCAGUGUAACAAAUCUCUUAAGAAUUAAUAAUGGUAUCUUUUAAGGGUUGCAAGGGAACCCUUUAAAUUCAAAAGCACUUGGAAAGAAAUUUGGUACAAUGGUGUGACCACACAGAAUGGGUUUUGGUGAGAUUACCUCGGUAUGUUUGUUGGAGUAGUAAUUUACCUGUUACUUGUAUAGGCAGGACUUAAUGUUGAAACUUGUAUCUCCUUUGACCCAAGGGCUUCCUUUCUGCACAUUAAUUUUCCUGGAGGGGCUUUGCAGGAGAGAGAGAAGGAGUAAGGGUGACCAUACUAUAUAAAACAUUAAAAAAUUGUAUGAGAUUAGGAGUCCCUGUGUCAAAAGACCUAGAUGUGGCGCUUUGAAAAGUCCUAGUGUCAAGAUAAUGAUCAUGUUUCUGGACUAAACUAACAGGAUCCCUGGGGGGAUGGGAGCACCUGUCUCCUAGUGUGAUGCUUUUGUGAGAAGCACGAUAGCCAGUGAUAUUUUACAAGUGAGGGUGGCUAAGUUCAGUACUCUAAAACCAAAUAUGACACUUUGUUAUAUAUGUAACACUCUGUUAUAAAAUUUCAUGUAGUUACCCCAUCAAGAAGGGAGUCUUGAAGCUCAAACUCAGAAUGAGUUCAUGAUGUGAGUCAUGUACAGCCCCCAAGUAGCUGUGGUUGCAUGGAUCUUCUCAAAAAUUGCCAUUUGACUUUGUUACUGAUCAUAUCAAGGAAAGAAGAGUCCUGAUACCCCCCAAAUAAUUAGAUUUUAGUAUCACAGAUAAUAAAUGCUUUUUUAGUUAACAUGUAGAAAGGCCAUACUGGAAGAGCCAAGGACUCAGGAGCCAGACUGCUUUAGAAUCCUGGCCCCUCAUUUUUACCUGUGUGCAUAACUUGUCUUAGCUUUCUCAGCUGUAGAAUGAAAAUACCAGUUUCAUUAGGUUGUAAGGAUGAGUGAGUUAAUAUGUGUAAAUUGCUUAGAAUACCUGACAUGGUAAACACUGUACAAGUGUUUGCUAUUUACUGUGCAAGUGGUAAUGGUGACUAUCUUUUUUUCCCUAACCUUAACAGUGACAAUUCACAUUAUAAUGGAUAACAAUGCCCAUUGGCAUAUAAUUUGAAGUCCCUAAUUAUAAAUGUAUUACUGAACUGCUGUCAAAUUACCAAAGUUAUAUAUUAAGUACAUGCCAGUAGAAGUUAAAAUUUUUAUAUUAGAAUAUUUUAGGGCAUGUCUCUGGUGGGAAGGGAGUACAGGUUAUAAUAAAGUUACCCUAAUGCUUGCUUAAAAUUAAAAACGGGAUUUCUGGAUCUAGAUCCUAUUCCAGACCUAUUUAGGCCAAAGUAUGUCUGUUUUUGACAAACACCACAGGUGAUUCUGAUGUGCAUCCCUGGCCUAGAACCAUGUUUACAUUAAAUGUAAAAACAGUUUGAUUUUUGAAAUGAAGGAAAAAUUACUAAUGGGCAAUUUCCUUAGCCCAAUUAUUAAGAUUAGGCAUCAGACCAAAAUGAAAUGCAUCUGUCAUAACUCAUUAUUUUAAUAUGCUUUGUCAUAGUAUAUAUGUAUUUGGGUGUUUUCCAUUACAAUGCAGCUUUAAUGCUGAGUGUAUCUGCCUUUAAAAUAGCAAGGGUAGAGGCGCCUGGGUGGCUCAGUGGGUUAAGCGUUCGACUGGAUUUUGGCUCAGGUCAUGACCUCGGUGGUAAGAUGGAGCCUUGUGUGGGGCUUCACACUCAGCUCAAGUCUGCUCGAGAUUUUUCCCUUUCCCUCUGCCCCUCCCCUCUUCCCCUACUCCUGUGCAUGUGCUUUCUCACUCUCUCAAAUAUUAAGAAAAAAAUAGCAAGAGAAAACCAUCUGGUAACAAAUGAAAAUCAUAGUUUUAUAAAUUGUGUCUGUAGGUUGUAAUUACAAAAGGUGAAAAAUGUCACUUCUGCAAAUUUAGCCAAAAAAUAUUUUUGGAGUUCUGGUUUGACUUUUUGCCUCAACUUGGACAUUAACUGAAAGAUGAAAGAAGAAAAAAAAAUCUUAAAACCAGUAAGG